CUACGGGGGGCUGCAGUGGGGAAUAUUGGACAAUGGGCGCAAGCCUGAUCCAGCCAUGCCGCGUGAGUGAUGAAGGCCCUAGGGUUGUAAAGCUCUUUCGCGCGCGAAGAUAAUGACGGUAGCGCGAGAAGAAGCCCCGGCUAACUUCGUGCCAGCAGCCGCGGUAAUACGAAGGGGGCUAGCGUUGUUCGGAAUCACUGGGCGUAAAGCGCACGCAGGCGGGUUGUUAAGUCAGGGGUGAAAUCCCGAGGCUCAACCUCGGAACUGCCCUUGAUACUGGCGACCUUGGAGUCCGGGAGAGGUGAGUGGAACUCCGAGUGUAGAGGUGAAAUUCGUAGAUAUUCGGAAGAACACCAGUGGCGAAGGCGGCUCACUGGCCCGGUACUGACGCUGAGGUGCGAAAGCGUGGGGAGCAAACAGGAUUAGAUACCCGAGUAGUC
rnacentral:rRNA from 1 species